GGUCCUGGCUCUGGUCCUGGCUCUGGUCCUGGUCCUGGCUCUGGUCCUGGCUCUGGUCCUGGCUCUGGUCCUGGC
rnacentral:miRNA from 1 species